rnacentral:rRNA from 1 species
UACGAAUGCCUCAAGCGUUAUCCGGAAUCAUUGGGCGUAAAGGGUGUGUAGGUGGUCUUGUUAGUCUUCUGUCAAAUUCUUCGGCUUAACCGGGGGUCCGCAGAGGAAACGGCAAGACUCGAGGGUGCGAGGGGUGAAUGGAACUCAUAGUGUAGGGGUGAAAUCCGUUGAUAUUAUGGGGAACACCAAAAGCGAAGGCAAUUCACUGGCGCAUUCCUGACACUGAAACACGAAAGCGUGGGUAGCGAAUGGG